rnacentral:rRNA from 1 species
UACGUAGGGUGCAAGCGUUAUCCGGAAUUAUUGGGCGUAAAGCGCUCGUAGGCGGUUUGUCGCGUCUGCUGUGAAAACUGGAGGCUCAACCUCCAGCCUGCAGUGGGUACGGGCAGACUAGAGUGCGGUAGGGGAGAUUGGAAUUCCUGGUGUAGCGGUGGAAUGCGCAGAUAUCAGGAGGAACACCGGUGGCGAAGGCGGGUCUCUGGGCCGAUACUGACGCUGAGGAGCGAAAGCGUGGGGAGCGAACAGG